GUUGGGGUGGCAGAGCCCGGUGAUUGCAAAGGACCUAAGACCCUUCAACGGAGGAUCAAAUCCUUCCCCCAACU
rnacentral:tRNA from 2 species